rnacentral:tRNA from 1 species
UGCCCCUAUCGUCUAGAGGCCUAGGACACCGCCCUUUCACGGCGGCGACACGGGUUCGAAUCCCGUUGGGGGUACGCA